CAUGCCCCGAUGGUCAAUGGUUUAUUCUUAAUGAAUCUCGAACAUAAUGUUACACAUAUUCAUAGUGUGAAUACCAAAAGAUGUAAGGUUGAUAACGAUAGUCCCACAUACCUGUGGCACUGCCGCCUUGGUCACAUUGGUGUCAAGCGCAUGAAGAAGCUCCAUGCUGAUGGACUUUUAGAGUCUCUCGAUUAUGAAUCAUUUGACACAUGCGAACCAUGCCUCAUGGGAAAAAUGACCAAGACUCCGUUCUCCGGAACAAUGGAGCGAGCAACCAACUUAUUGGAAAUCAUACAUACUGAUGUGUGUGGUCCGAUGAGCGUUGAGGCUCGCGGAGGAUAUCGUUAUGUUCUCACUCUCACUGAUGACUUAAGU
rnacentral:rRNA from 1 species